UUUGAAUACAGGUGUGAGGUUGCAGUAACCUAAUAAGACCAAAAUCAUUUGAUUUUUUUUUUCUUUUUUUUCCAUGUCUGUCCUGUCUGAACUUCGGUGACUCUUCACAAAAUAGUACGCACUUCUGGGGCCCAGUAGCCAACUGGGGUCUUCCCAUUGCUGCCAUCAAUGAUAUGAAAAAGUCUCCAGAGAUUAUCAGUGGGCGGAUGACGUUUGCCCUCUGUUGCUAUUCUUUGACAUUCAUGAGAUUUGCCUACAAGGUACAGCCUCGGAACUGGCUUCUGUUUGCAUGCCACGCAACAAAUGAAGUAGCCCAGCUCAUCCAGGGAGGGCGGCUUAUCAAACACGAGAUGACUAAAAAGGCAUCUGCAUAACAAUGGAAAAUGAAGAACAAGGUCUUGAAGGGACAGCAUUGCCAGCUGCUGCUGAGUCACAGAUUUCAUUAUAAAUAGCCUCCCUAAGGAAAAUACACUGAAUGCUAUUUUUACUAACCAUUCUAUUUUUAUAGAAAUAGCUGAGAGUUUCUAAACCAACUCUCUGCUGCCUUACAAGUAUUAAAUAUUUUACUUCUUU
rnacentral:sRNA from 1 species